ACGGCCACAUCACGUUGAAACACCGGUUCACUUACGAACAACGAAGUUAAGCAACGCUGAGUCUGGUCAGUACCUAAAUGGGUGACUGCCUUGGAAUACUAG